rnacentral:rRNA from 1 species
UACGUAGGGGGGCAAGCGUUUGUCCGGAUUUACUGGGCGUAAAGAGCGUGUAGGCGGCCACGCAGGUCCGUUGUGAAAACUGGAGGCUCAACCUCCAGACGUCGACGGAAACCGUAUGGCUAGAGUCCGGAAGAGGAGAGUGGAAUUCCUGGUGUAGCGGUGAAAUGCGCAGAUAUCAGGAAGAACACCAAUGGGCGAAGGCAGCGUCUCUGGGACGGUACUGACGCUGAGACGCGAAAGCGUGGGGAGCGAACAGG